rnacentral:rRNA from 1 species
AGUGAACGCUGGCGGUAGGCCUAACACAUGCAAGUCGAACGGCAGCACAGUAAGAGCUUGCUCUUACGGGUGGCGAGUGGCGGACGGGUGAGGAAUACAUCGGAAUCUACUUUUUCGUGGGGGAUAACGUAGGGAAACUUACGCUAAUACCGCAUACGACCUACGGGUGAAAGCAGGGGAUCUUCGGACCUUGCGCGAUUGAAUGAGCCGAUGUCGGAUUAGCUAGUUGGCGGGGUAAAGGCCCACCAAGGCGACGAUCCGUAGCUGGUCUGAGAAGAUGAUCAGCCACACUGGAACUGAGACACGGUCCAGACUCCUACGGGAGGCAGCAGUGGGGAAUAUUGGACAAUGGGCGCAAGCCUGAUCCAGCCAUACCGCGUGGGUGAAGAAGGCCUUCGGGUUGUAAAGCCCUUUUGUUGGGAAAGAAAAGCAGCAGGCUAAUACCCCGCUGUUCUGACGGUACCCAAAGAAUAAGCACCGGCUAACUUCGUG